rnacentral:rRNA from 1 species
UUAGAUACCCUGGUAGUCCACGCCCUAAACGAUGUCAAUAGGUGUUGGGGAAGGUGACUUCCUUAGUACCGCAGCUAACGCGUGAAGUUGACCGCCUGGGGAGUACGGCCGCAAGGUUAAAACUCAAAGGAAUUGACGGGGACCCGCACAAGCGGUGGAUGAUGUGGAUUAAUUCGAUGCAACGCGAAAAACCUUACCUACCCUUGACAUGCUUGGAACCCUGCUGAGAGGUGGGGGUGCCCGAAAGGGAGCCGGGACACAGGUGCUGCAUGGCUGUCGUCAGCUCGUGUCGUGAGAUGUUGGGUUAAGUCCCGCAACGAGCGCAACCCUUGUCGUUAAUUGCCACCAUUUAGUUGGGCACUUUAACGAGACUGCCGGUGACAAACCGGAGGAAGGUGGGGAUGACGUCAAGUCCUCAUGGCCCUUAUGGGUAGGGCUUCACACGUCAUACAAUGGCGCAUACAGAGGGUUGCGAAGCCGCGAGGUGAAGCCAAUCCCAGAAAGUGCGUCGUAGUCCGGAUUGCAGUCUGCAACUCGACUGCAUGAAGUCGGAAUCGCUAGUAAUCGCGGAUCAGCAUGUCGCGGUGAAUACGUUCCCGGGUCUUGUACACACCGCCCGUCACACCAUGGGAGUGGGUUUUACCAGAAGCAGGUAGCCUAACCGCAAGGAGGGCGCCUACCACGGUAGGAUUCAUGACUGGGGUG